UUUUUCUGUUGGGUCUUCAUAUAAGGGAUAUUAACAGCAUACAAGAAAAAGUCUCUAAUCAAAAUGUAUAUAAAACAAAGGCUUUCUAAAAGACAUUUUCUAUUGAGUCUUUAUGAAGUCUAGGAUAUUUUCUAUGAAAAUAAGAGAAAUAUAAAUCUUUAAGUUUAGACCUUUUUGGUGAGCUGACUUUUUAAACUUAGAAAACCAGGAGCCAUAUAAUUAAUAUGUGCCUUUGUAAUCAAGUGUUGCUUGCUUGAGAUUCUUAGCAAAAAUCAGGCAAGUAAACAAGUGUAUGUAGUUAUUAGGCUGGACUAUGGAUGAGCAAUCU
rnacentral:lncRNA from 1 species